GCGUGCAGCUGGGAGAGCUAGACUAAGUUGGUCAUGAUGCAGAAGCUACUCAAAUGCAGUCGGCUUGUCCUGGCUCUUGCCCUCAUCCUGGUUCUGGAAUCCUCAGUUCAAGGUUAUCCUACGCGGAGAGCCAGGUACCAAUGGGUGCGCUGCAAUCCAGACAGUAAUUCUGCAAACUGCCUUGAAGAAAAAGGACCAAUGUUCGAACUACUUCCAGGUGAAUCCAACAAGAUCCCCCGUCUGAGGACUGACCUUUUUCCACGAGAAUCCAGGACUUGAAUCGUAUCUUCCCACUUUCUGAGGACUACUCUGGAUCAGGCUUCGGCUCCGGCUCCGGCUCUGGAUCAGGAUCUGGGAGUGGCUUCCUAACGGAAAUGGAACAGGAUUACCAACUAGUAGACGAAAGUGAUGCUUUCCAUGACAACCUUAGGUCUCUUGACAGGAAUCUGCCCUCAGACAGCCAGGACUUGGGUCAACAUGGAUUAGAAGAGGAUUUUAUGUUAUAAAAGAGGAUUUUCCCACCUUGACACCAGGCAAUGUAGUUAGCAUAUUUUAUGUACCAUGGUUAUAUGAUUAAUCUUGGGACAAAGAAUUUUAUAGAAAUUUUUAAACAUCUGAAAAAGAAGCUUAAGUUUUAUCAUCCUUUUUUUUCUCAUGAAUUCUUAAAGGAUUAUGCUUUAAUGCUGUUAUCUAUUUUAUUGUUCUUGAAAAUACCUGCAUUUUUUGGUAUCAUGUUCAACCAACAUCAUUAUGAAAUUAAUUAGAUUCCCAUGGCCAUAAAAUGGCUUUAAAGAAUAUAUAUAUAUUUUUAAAGUAGCUUGAGAAGCAAAUUGGCAGGUAAUAUUUCAUACCUAAAUUAAGACUCUGACUUGGAUUGUGAAUUAUAAUGAUAUGCCCCUUU
rnacentral:lncRNA from 10 species